UCUUAUAUAUAAUAAGACUCAUCUUCACGUCCUGCUUAAAGGACAAUAAUACCCUUCUAUUGCAGCUGGUUGAAGUGGGUUUAUUGUAUUUUUCAUACAAUUAUAUAUUUUUUUUGUUCACCGCCUAUCCUCUCGUCACUUAUCCCCAAUCCUGCUUCACCUACUUCAUUGCCACUUUUCUCCAAAAAAAAUUGACACGCAUUAGAACCCAAAGUCUCUUGUUCUCAAAUCUCACGCUAGCUAUCUGUGCUACCUUAAUGCUCACUUUGAUCAUGGAUAUCAAAAGAACUAAGAAAGUGGAUAUCUACCUCAAUGUUUCUACAUAUUUAAUCGAAUGUGCUUGAGAUCAACAAGAAAGAGGUAAUUGUAUUUUUCGUAAAAUUGUGAAUCUAAAGUAUGUGUAAGAUUUGUUAAGGAUUUAGUGUAUUGUUAGUGUUUGGGAUUCAAGGCCAUUUUGUUUUGGUCUAUGUACAAUGUUUUUGUUCUUGUUCCAGUUAGUUACAAUAUUAUAUUUAUUUUUUAAGGUCGAGUGAUGGAAUCGAUCUUGUGUAGAGCUAUUUUAUUUUAUUUUAUUUUUUUUUUUUUGUAAUCUUAGCUUCCUUGGGGUGUUUCUUCUCCAAAUAGAGAUCAUGAACAUAAUGUUCUCUAAUUAAUUUGAUGGUAUUCUAUUUCAA